GGCUGGCGGGGGCAGCGCGGCGCGGGCGGCGCAGCGGCGGGAUGCGGCAGUGCCGGGCCGCGGGGCUGGCGGGGCUGGCCGCGGUGCUGCUGGUGACUAUGAGCAGAGCCCAGGUGCAACAGGAGCCGGCGGCAGAGACCACCGAGGACACCGGCAUCAACAUCACCUGCUCACACCCCAACCUACAGCCCGACGGGUACAUCCAUUGGUACCGUCAGCUCCCGGGCCGAGGCCCCUCAUUCCUCGUCAGCGCUUUUAAAGGCUCCAAGGAGGUGCCGGACCCGGAGGGGCAGCUGUGGGUGUCGGCAGACCGCCGCUCCAGCGUCCUGCGUCUCGCCCGGCCCCGGCUCGGGGACGCGGCGCUGUAUUACUGCGCCGUGGGCGCACGGGAAGCGAAGCCGGGGCUGCGGCCGGGCACGAACCGCUUGGGGCGGGGCGGGGGCACAGUGCCGUCCGGGCCCGCAGGGGGCGCUGCCUUCAUGGCCGCCAAACUCCAUCCUGACCGGGGUGCGCCGCCCUGAGUUCUCGUCAGAAACGAGCGCUGCACCCAUAGCAGCCACUGACUGAGGCCCAUGUCAGUCAGAGUUACUUUUGAGUUGGACGAGAUGGCAUUACAGACAACGCAAGCUGUGUCUAACAACGGAAAGACAUUCACACAGUUCUAUUUCAUCUCGUGAUCUCUGCUUCUUCCCCAGUGCAGUACAUCUCAGAGCAGAAGAGCCCUGUUCUUACAAGCCCACAGGGUUGCUUAUUCCCAUGACCUUCCACACAGUCACAGCUUUUCCUGUGAGCACUGCAGAGGCUGUGUUCUCUCUUGUGCAGGUAGCUGUAUGCAUAAACACUACAGUCAGAGGCCAAUAGUUGCUUCCUCUGGCACUGCCAGGUAUAUCUUGUUCAGCUGCAAGAGACAAUGCUGAAGAGACAAGCCUCUGCAGUAUCUCAUACCCUCUCAUUCUUUUGGGAAUGGAGAAGGAUCUCUAUAAACAUUCAUCCUAUAACUGCCAGGAGCAAAUCCAUUCUCUCUGGGCAUCUUUGGAGGCCACACACGGUGAGAAAGAAUAUCAAAGACUUAAACUAAGAUGCAGAAAUCUUUAAUGAAUUUUUAAAUAGGAAAAUGAGAUCACUCCAAGCAGAGGCUCCACAGUACAGGAUUCCCAUGAUCCCAUGUUUGUUUGAGUUCAUGCUAGGCACGUGUCUUAUUUUCUAGCAGAGAAUGGACUGGUUCUGAGGAAACUCACAUC